rnacentral:rRNA from 1 species
AAAACGAGGCGUUGCUAGUACGGCGAGUGAGCGGCACAGCUCAAAUUUGAAAUCUGGCUCCUCCCGGGCCCGAAUUGUAAUUUGGAGAGGAUGCUUUUGGCGCGGCCCCUGUCGAAUCGCCCGGGACGGGGCCCCCUGAAAGGGGGAAAACCCCGUUUGGGGGGGGCCUACCCUUUGCGUGUUUCCCUCCUUCAAUCAAGUUGGUUGAUAGUAAAUAA